AAUAAAGCGUAGAUGAGGAAAGUAGUGUCAAUGUUUCUUCUCCAGAGACAAGCUUGUGUGGUGCGAGAGCUUGAAGAAAAUUGCCAUGAAAUGCCCCUUUGAGUGCUACCCGAAAUCAGUGAGAGUAGGCGUAGACGUAUCUCCGGCGUUAACGGACACGGAGAGGGACGAUUGACUCGUCCAAACAGAGUGGGACCGCGCUAAUUAGCGUCUCUGUG
rnacentral:ncRNA from 2 species